rnacentral:rRNA from 1 species
CCUACGGGAGGCAGCAGUGGGGAAUAUUGGACAAUGGGCGAAAGCCUGAUCCAGCAAUUCCGCGUGUGUGAAGAAGGCCUUCGGGUUGUAAAGCACUUUAGUGGGGGAAGAAACAGCUUGGCCACACCAAGCCUUGACGGUACCCCAAGAAUAAGCACCGGCUAACUCUGUGCCAGCAGCCGCGGUAAUACAGAGGGUGCAAGCGUUAAUCGGAUUUACUGGGCGUAAAGGGUGCGUAGGUGGCUAUUUAAGUCGGAUGUGAAAGCCCGGGGCUCAACCUCGGAAUUGCAUUCGAUACUGAGUGGCUAGAGUUCGGUAGAGGGCGGCGGAAUUUCCGGUGUAGCGGUGAAAUGCGUAGAUAUCGGAAGGAACAUCAAUGGCGAAGGCAGCCGCCUGGGCCUGGACUGACACUGAGGCACGAAAGCGUGGGUAGCAAACAGGAUUAGAUACCCUGUAGUCCACGCCGUAAACGAUGAGAACUUGACGUUGGUUCGUUUUACGAAUCGGUGUCGCAGCUAACGCGAUAAGUUCUCCGCCUGGGGAGUACGGCCGCAAGGUUGAAACUUAAAGGAAUUAGACGG